rnacentral:lncRNA from 1 species
AUCAUGAUUUAAAUCUCUUUCACCAAGAUAGGGGUCAAUGCUAAUAAGCCUUUUGAUUUCAUCCUGCAAAACAAGUAGUCAAAAACACCAUCGCUAUUGUGUCAUGAAUAUGAAAAACAAUAAUUAGAUGAUAAUUCUUACAAGUGUAGGUCUUGUCUCCAAGGAUGGGCAGCUACCAUCUGUCCUUGUAUGUAGAGCCACAAAUAAUUGAGUCCUUGUGACCUUACCAUCAGAACUUUCUUUAAUCUACAGUUUAAUUCAAGGAAACUCUUUAAGUAAAAAUGAACGAAUUGAGAAUUUAUAAUACACACUUACACACACUAAAUAAUUGAUAUUACCAACUCUUCUUUUGUCCUAGCUGCUCCUCGUAGACUGAUCGGACCUCAAAAGUGUAUAUUUAUCCUCCGAAUAACACCUUGUUUGUCUAGCACUUAGCUUAUAUUAUUGUAUUAUAUCUAUUGAUUAGUGCAUUUCUGUCUUAUAUAGGUUUUCAGAGCCAAAAUGCGAAUAUUGAGUAAAAGCACACAAAAAGACGAGAAAAGCAAGCAAAGAGGUGUUAUUUGCACAAGGGAAGAAGAUUGGAUAUUUGCACCCACGGAAUCUGCUAAGGGCACCCCAUGGUCAACUCUGGUCAAAUAAGUUGAGUUGACUUUUUGGUCAAUUUUGACUAAGGUUGACUUUUCGGUUGACUGUUGACUUCAGGUCAACUGCUGCUGACUUAGGUUGACUUUCGGUCAACUGCUGACUUCUUAUGACUUUGGGUCAAAUCUGUUGACUCAUGUGGACCGGACUUCCUAUUUUGGAUCUUGAUCUUAUAAAGGCUCUACAAGGAGAACUAGAAGUCCGAUUGGGGUCCAUGACAUAUCAAACUGAAGGUCUUGGCCCAAACUACAAUUCUAGCCCAAGAGGAUUAGGUUUUACUGAUUGCCUAAUCCCUCUAUGAGGCCAACAGCAGCAGCCACGAAUUUCACUAAGUUAGGAAGUCUUUGCAUGCAAGUAUUCCAUUAUGUAAUGUCUAUAUAAGAGAAGUUGUAACUAGGGUUUACUAGACUUUGGUUGAUCAUCAACUUGAAGACCAACUUUUGUACUCAAUUCAAUAUCAAUAUCAAUCCAUGAUUUCAAUUAUGAUGUUCUUUGGUUUAAUUAUUUGUUCCAUUGGUAUGAGUAGCUAAAUCAUCAUGGGGGAAAGGUGGAAGCUUUCUAGGUGAUGUAUGAUUAUUAUGUUGUUUCUUCUUAUUCAUUGUGAUUCGAGGUACUUAAUGCUUAUUUACUUCUAGCUGCAGUAUGAGGUAAGUAUGAUUGUUUGUAUGCUAUUGUUAUCCAUGGUAUUAAAUAUUGUUGUUAGAAUUUAGGGAGACCUAGUUUUGACUACUGCAUGUUUGUAAUAUUUAUCUUUUAUUGGAACCCUUUCAUGAUUAAAUUUAAUAGCUGAGAGGUGAGGAUUUAAUCAUGAAUAAUAUGUGGAGUUAAUUAUAUUCAAUAGCUGAGAGGUGAGGAUUUGAUUAAUGAAGCAUAUUCAAUAGUAUACAUAAUAGAAUCCCGUUUUAAUUCAAUCCAAUAGCUGAGAGGUGAGGAUUGAUUAUUAUAGGUAUUAAUAAUUAAUAAGAAUAGCUGAGAGGUGACUUAUUGAUUAUUAUAGAUUGAAUAUGAAGAACAACAUGAUAUGAUUGCAUAACCUAGUUUGUGGAAACCUACUACUCCCCCUAUGUCAUCAUAUAAUUCUCUUUUCCAUAUCUUCCAUAUUCUUAAGUCAGGAUUUAUUUAUUGUUUAUUGCCUGUAGGAAGUAGAAUCAAUUCUCCAACUUUUAUUAUUGAUUCAUUGAUGUUUCUUAACCAUUGUUCUUAAUUGUGUUUGAGCUAAGAUCUCCCCCUCUGAGGUGGGUACGACCCUUGCUUGUUACUUGUCUACUUUGAUCUCAAUCUAUACAGGCACAAGAAGGAAAAAUCUACAAAUAUAAUCUUUGAUUUACAAUACAAAAAUAUUGCAACAUCAUCGACCAGAAGUGUGAGGCAACUUCAAAUGGCGCCUAGAUGACUUGUUUUUCCCUCGCUUAAGUUGAUCAUCAUCUGUAGAGCAAAUUUUUAUAAAUUUUUCCCACUCUUCUUUCUUUACAUUCUUGGGAAUAUUCUUUAUGCGUUCAACAUGUGUUGGAUACUCGUCAUAGACCUUGUGAAUCACGUAUUUCCAAUUUUUUCAUGAUAUGUUAGCUUUUUGUAAAACAUAUGUUUUGCGAACAAGGUCAAGAUCAUACUUCACCUAUGGUAAAAAGUGUGAAAGAAAAAUUAAUAUGAUAAUUCAAAUUCAACAUGGUACAAGAACCUAAUUAUAAAGAUGUUUUGAAAGACCUUUCAGAUCUCAAGAUAAGUAGCAAUUAGUUUCAUAAGAAAACAAAUUUAAUUAAGAACUUACAACAACAGUCUUCCAGAUAUCUUCCUUGAUACUAUCUAGCACACCAAGCCAAUCACUAUAAGUUGGGGGACAAUGAACUCUCAUAGCUCUACCAACAAAAGUGGCAAAUUGUACCGAACCAAGACCAAUUGCCUGCCCAUCAUUAUUGAACUGGAUGUAUAUCAUUUCACCUAUAUAGAUUUAGAUGGCCAAUAAGGAUUUACAAGAGUAAAUGAAUAAAUUAUUGUCAUAAUUCACCACAGGUUGCUGAUUCCCCAUACCAAACAGUAAAGCCACACUAUAGGC